UUAUCCUGCCCAGUGACUUACGAGUUAAACGGCCGCGGUACCCUGACCGUGCUAAGGUAGCGUAAUAAUUCGCCCUUUAAUUGUGGGCUUGUAUGAACGGAUAAACGAAAGAUACCCUGUCUCUUUAAUAAAAAUAAAAUUUGUCCUCUAGGUGAAGAUACCUAGAUAAAAUUAGAAGACAAGAAGACCCCAUAGAGCUUAGUUCUUAAAGAUCUACUAAAUAAAAUAUUUUAUUAUAUUUAUUUCUUGCAUCCUAUAAACUUGGCUGGGGCGGCUAAGGAAAUUAAUCUUCCAUUUUUAUAUUACUAGGCCAAUAAGCCUUAAAAACUGACCCUCAAUGAUCAAAAAAUAAAGCUACCUUGGGGAUAACAGAUUAAUCCUUCUCAAGAGUUCACAUUAACAGAAGGGCUUGACACCUCGAUGUUGGCUUAAGGUACCCAGAGGGUCAGCAGCAGCCCUCAAAGGUAGGUUUGUUCAACCUUUAAAACCUU
rnacentral:rRNA from 1 species